rnacentral:rRNA from 2 species
ACGGCUCAGUAACACGUGGAUAACCUGCCCAAGGGUCUGGGAUAACCCCGGGAAACUGGGGAUAAUACCGGAUGGAUCACUAGUGCUGGAAUGCUUGGUGGUCGAAAGGCAACGCCUUUGGAUGGGUCUGCGGCGGAUUAGGUUGACGCCGGUGUAACGUACCGGCGUGCCUGUAAUCCGUACGGGUUGUGGGAGCAAGAGCCCGGAGAUGGAUUCUGAGACACGAAUCCAGGCCCUACGGGGCGCAGCAGGCGCGAAAACUCUACAAUGCAGGCAACUGCGAUAGGGGGACAUCGAGUGGCAUCCACCUUGGGUGCCUGUCCAACCGUCUAAAAAACGGUUGUUAGCAAGGGCCGGGUAAGACCGGUGCCAGCCGCCGCGGUAAUACCGGCGGCUCGAGUGGUGGCCGAUAUUAUUGAGUCUAAAGGGUCCGUAGCCGGCUUUGCAAGUCCCCUGGGAAAUCCAGCGGCUUAACCGUUGGGCUUUCAUGGGAUACUACAUUGCUUGGGACUGGGAGAGGUAGGAGGUACUCGGGGGGUAGGGGUGAAAUCCUGUAAUCCUCCGGGGACCACCGGUGGCGAAGGCGUCCUACCAGAACAGGUCCGACGGUGAGGGACGAAAGCUAGGGGCACGAACCGGAUUAGAUACCCGGGUAGUCCUAGCCGUAAACGAUGCCCGCUAGGUGUCACGACGGUCGUGAAUCGUCGUGGUGCCGUAGGGAAGCCGCGAAGCGGGCCACUUGGGAAGUACGGCCGCAAGGCUGAAACUUAAAGGAAUUGGCGGGGGAGCAC